CAAGCAAUAGUUUAUAAAAACAGUAACCUUGGACGUUAAAGAUCAGAAAAAAUUCUGCUGCUUGA
rnacentral:tRNA from 1 species